rnacentral:lncRNA from 1 species
ACUCAGAAGCUGCCUUGAAGAAAGGGUCUACCCAGCAUGGUGCGUGAAGCCUAAGCAAUCAGUACUUCAAGACUUCACCCGGCCCCUUUCCAAUAACUGCUGCUGUCGCCCUCACAGGAUGUCACCCUCAGUGUCUGAAAGCUGGGUUUGAUGCGUCUGGAAAGGCUCCCCUGACAGGCAUCAUUGCCGGGAGCCCCUAGUGCCGCCAGCAGCCAGCAGGGGAGGGCGUCCUCUGCCCGCUCACUUCUGACCCUUCUCAGGGAGCAGCCUGGGCUGCGCGGAAGGCUCAGAUUUGGGGAUGGCCCUUGCCAGUGACAGUGACCUGGGGUGUCUUGGAAACUCCCAGUCUCAGCUUCUCCAUUUAUAAGAUGAGAAUGAUCAUACCAGCCUCAGGCAAGGUUGUUUGUGCAUUAGUGAAAUCAGACGUAUUAAAUAAAGUACCAUAUUGAUCAUGGAGUUGUUGAAUAACCAAGAACACACCUAACUGUCUCCAAAAAAUACAUGUUGAAAAUGA